AUUGAACGCUGGCGGCAGGCCUAACACAUGCAAGUCGAGCGGAUGAAGGGAGCUUGCUCCUGGAUUCAGCGGCGGACGGGUGAGUAAUGCCUAGGAAUCUGCCUGGUAGUGGGGGAUAACGUCCGGAAACGGGCGCUAAUACCGCAUACGUCCUGAGGGAGAAAGUGGGGGAUCUUCGGACCUCACGCUAUCGGAUGAGCCUAGGUCGGAUUGGCUAGUUGGUGGGGUAAAGGCCUACCAAGGCGACGAUCCGUAACUGGUCUGAGAGGAUGAUCAGUCACACUGGAACUGAGACACGGUCCAGACUCCUACGGGAGGCAGCAGUGGGGAAUAUUGGACAAUGGGCGAAAGCCUGAUCCAGCCAUGCCGCGUGUGUGAAGAAGGUCUUCGGAUUGUAAAGCACUUUAAGUUGGGAGGAAGGGCAGUAAGUUAAUACCUUGCUGUUUUGACGUUACCAACAGAAUAAGCACCGGCUAACUUCGUG
rnacentral:rRNA from 1 species